rnacentral:lncRNA from 1 species
CACCAAAUGGCUCUUUAACCUUUCAUUUAUUUAUUUAUUCAUCCAGAAGAUGCUGCACUUAUGAAUUUCCAGGACCUGUAUCUUCUAAAUCAUUUAGUCAAUGGGGCCAGAGAAACAGAAGGAGGCCAAAGAACUCCCUUUUCACAUUAUUGUUAGGAGAAACUCCAAAAGAGGGCUACAGAGGAAGAAAAGAAGGAGAGGGAGGAGGAGCUAAAAAACAGCCUUCCACCAGCUUUGUAGCCAGUUACAGGACUAGGAGAUAAUGAAGAGACUCAGGAAAGCAGUCAAGAUGAGAUCUUGGGCAGGGAACGCCUAGGUAAGGAGAGAAAAGGAGGAAAACUCACCAUGCAGUGUUCACUGUGAGAGGACAAAA